rnacentral:rRNA from 1 species
GACGAACGCUGGCGGCGUGCCUAAUACACGCAAGUAGGACGCAGUUGCGAACGGGUGAGUAACGCGUAGGUAACUACCAAUUAGAGGGGGAUAACUAUUGGAAACGAUAGCUAAUAACGCAUACUAGUAGAUGGACCUGCGUUGUAUUAGGUAGUAGGUAUGGUAAUGGCCUACCUAGGAAACGAUACAUAGCCGACCUGGGAGGGUGAUCGGCCACACGUGGAACGGGGAACGGCCCAGACUCCUACGGGAGGCAGCAGUAGGGAAGCUUCGGCAAUGGGGGGAAACCUGACCGCGCAACGCCGCGGGAGUGAAGAAGGUUUUCUGAUCGUAAAGCUCUGUUGUUAAGGAAGCGGUACUUAACCAGAAAGGGACGGCUAACUACGUGCCAGCCGCCGCGGUAAUAC